CCUCGUUGCUGUUGCUUUUAGACGUUUGUGAGCGACAAAAGUCUCGUGACCUCGCCAUUUACUUAAGCAUGUACGAUUAAGCGAGGAAUUUGGCCACAAGAAACUCCAUUCUUCUUGGGAAAAGAAAUAUAUCGGAACUUGAGAAGCAUAUAUUACAUUGAUCAAACGUAACUAUUAAAAAUUUAAUUAAGACACACGAGAGGAUGAGUUUCAAAAUAAGAUUGUUAUUCGUACUUGUUACCUUCAGCAUGUUUAGCAUUGUAUACCCACGUGCUACAAUAGCGAAAUACAUUAAAGAUGAUAUAAUGGACAAUGAAGUAUUUCUUAGAAGACCUGCUUUUUGUUUUAAACCUUACGACUUUGGGUAUUGCAUCAUGCCUUGCGCAAUGGUGUUGAGAUAUUGGUUUAAUGAGGAUUUGGGAACAUGUGAACCUUUUAGAUUCGGUGGUUUUAAAGGAAAUAAAAAUAAUUUUAAAACUUUUAAUGAGUGCUUGGAAACAUGCAGUUAAGAUACAUAAUUUUAGUUACAUUACAGAUAUAAAAUAUUUGAAAAUUUUCCAUAUAUUUUUCCCAUAUAUUUUUCCCAUAUAUUAAUACGUAUUUGUACUAGUCUGAUAUUGAGUUAAAAGGAAAUACUAAAUAAAAGACUCUGUAAAGUCUUUAUGAAAUACUCACAAAAGUGUUUUAUUUUUAUAAUAAAUGACUGUAAUAAUAUGAAAUGUUUGGAUAUGUACAUAAAAUAUGUAGGAAUA